rnacentral:rRNA from 1 species
AGUCUGAUCCAGCAAUGCCGCGUGGGUGAAGAAGGCUUGAGGGUUGUAAAGCCCUAGUCGUCAGGGAGGAAAAGCGUACGGUUAAUAUCCGUGCGUCUUGACGUUACCUGCAGAAAAAGCACCGGCUAACUCCGUGCCAGCAGCCGCGGUAAUAC